UAAAUAAAUUUUUUAUAUUUUUUAUAAUUUAUUAUGAAUUUAUUUUACAUGUAAAUUUUAGUAUUAAAUUUUAAUUAUUUUAAUAAUAAUUAAUUUAUAUAUACAGUAAUUAAAAUUAAAAAUUUAAGAAAUUAAGAUUUAGUAAUAUAUAAAUUAAUAACUAAUUUUGUGCCAGCAGUUGCGGUUAAACAAAAAUUAAAUUAAAUUAUUUCAGUAUAUAAUAAAUAAUAAAUUAUUAAAUUAAAUAUUAAAUUAUUAAGUGAAAUUUUAAUUUAAUUAAAAAUUAUGUUAAAAUUAUGAUUUAAUAAAUUUUAUUUUAAACUAGGAUUAGAUACCCUAUUAUUAAAAAUUUAAUUAAUAAUACUAAAAUAGUAGAUAAAAUAUUAUUGAAACUUAAAUAAUAUGGCGGUAUUUUAGUUCAUUUAGAGGAAUCUGUCUGGUAAUUGAUAAUCCACGAAUAAAUUUACUUAAUUUAUAAUUUUGUAUAUCAUUGUUAAAAAAAUAUUUUUUAAUGAAAAUAAUAUUUUAAAAUUUAAAAUAAAAUUUAAUUCAGAUCAAGAUGCAGAUUAUAAUUAAGUUUAAGAUGGAUUACAAUAAAUUUAUUUAAAUGAAAAGAAUUUUGUAAAAUUUAAUUGAAAGUGGAUUUAAAUGUAAUUUUAAUUAAUUUAUUAAAAUGAUUAAAAAUUGAAAUAUGUACAUAUUGCCCGUCACUUUCAUUUUAAAAUUGAAAUAAGUCGUAACAAAGUAGAGGUACUGGAAAGUGUUUCUAGAAUGAU
rnacentral:ncRNA from 1 species